rnacentral:rRNA from 1 species
CACGUAGGGCGCGAGCGUUGUCCGGAAUUAUUGGGCGUAAAGAGCUCGUAGGCGGUUUGUUGCGUCGGCUGUGAAAUCCCGAGGCUCAACCUCGGGUCUGCAGUCGAUACGAGCAAACUAGAGUGUUGCAGGGGAGACUGGAAUUCCUGGUGUAGCGGUGAAAUGCGCAGAUAUCGGGAGGAACACCAGUAGCGAAGGCGGCACUCUGGGCCGGUACUGACGCUGAGGAGCGAAAGCGUGGGGAGCGAACAGG